GACCCAGUGGUGUAAUGGUUAACGCACCUACUAAUGUUCCGUUUGCCGAAUUAUGUUCAGUGGGAGAUCCCUGUUCAAUUCGGGGCCGGGUCA